rnacentral:miRNA from 1 species
GGUGCUUCGCGAUUCGGAACUGU